GCCAUAAAUGAUGACUCUUCAUCCCUUUUAAAGAGUUAAGUAGCAUUUUUUUUUUAAAUCCUUCAAAUAUAAAACAAUUUCAGAGACAAUAAAAAAAUUACAUUAAAAAAGGAAACCAACACUUACAUUUAUUAAAAACAAAUCACUGUAUGGAGAGAUAAUUGCUUAUAAUUUUUCAAAACUGACUGAAGAUAUCAAGCUGCAUGACUAAGAACUCCUACAGACUUCAAGCAAGACAGAUGCAAAGAAAACCACACCUAGAAACAUCAGAAUAAAACUACUGGGAAAAGUAUUAAAAUAAUCAAUGAGACACAAAAAUCGCUAGAUAAAAUACACUAUUUUCACAGACAUGAACAUUCACUAAUUACAAUAAUACAGACUUUGCAAAAUAACUUGUAAUUUCAAAACAAUUUCAAACAAAACCCCAAUGGGCUAUUUCAUACAUAUUAGGAUGUAUAUGAAAAAGGAAAGGGUUAUGAAAUGUGAAUAGUAUGAAAACACUCUUGAAAAAGAAUGAAGUGAGAUACUUGACCUACAACAUCAAAGUUUUUUAUAACAGUGUGGUGUAAGUGCACAUAGAGACAAAUGACCCAGAUAUAUGGAAGAGUCUAAACUUAGAUUCACAAUUAAACCCAUUCCAUUUCAGGGCUACAGUGCUAAAGUACGGGAAAAGGGGGUAAUUUUUAAAUGCUUCUUGGCAAUUGAUUACCCAUAUGGAAACAAGGAAUACAAUGGGAAUCAUACGGAAGCAAAUUUCAGGUAGUUUACAUUCUGUGAAAAGUAGGACUUAGAGCACAGAGAGAAAAAAUAAGACUAUCUUAUAUACUUUAGGAUUAGUAAAAGAUUUCUUAAAAUAUAAAAAGCACAAACUGUAAAAUUUAGCUCCAUAAAAAUUUUAAAACUUAGACAACAAACUGGAAGUAUUUGCCCCACAUUAACCAGAAAAAGGGUUAUAAAUAAUGCAUAUUUUUAAAAGAAUGAGUAUAAAUAGGCACUUCACAGAAUCGUAAAUGCCCAGACAUGAACAAAAGAAGUGUUUACUUUUACUUGUAAUUACGGAAACAUCGGAAUGAGACACCCUUAAAGAAAAUUUCAUUCUAUAAAAAGGCAACUUGGAAAAGGGAAAUUUCAACUCAGGAGCAGAGGCAGGCCCUUUCAGGGGGUUGGGGGCUGGAAUCUAGGGUUAACAUCAAAUUAAAAGCUAACUGCUAGAGUCACAGGGAGGAGAGGACUUUAAAUUGCUCGGAAUGUUAGUGGUUAUAGCAGAACUCUUGGAAACCUCACAGGUGAACACUAGCAGGCAGCCAGAUCACUGCAGUGGGUGGAUGGGUAUCUGUUUCAAGUUGGCUUCUUGGAGGUUUCUUACAGACAUCACAGCUCAGUAAGCAGGGGGUGGGGUAGGUGCUCUCUCUUGUGGCCUGCUCCCCUCGGAAAGGCAGGGCUCGGGGGCAUCCAGUUGAGGCAGCAAGGCUGGCCUAACUCUAGGAGGACUAGGCUUGGAGUUGAAGCUCAGGUGAACCAACUCAUCGUCAUGGCAGGGGAGAGCACUUCCAGACAGAAAACCCACUGAGGGAAGAGAGGGGCUCAGGCCAAGAGACCUUAAGGAGACACUCUCCACUCACUGCCCAGCAAAAUGAAAGGAGAAUGUGCCAAGAGACCCGGAUGAGGAGGCGCUAAUGCAGAUGGCAUUACCACCAGUGCCUAGGGGAAGACGAGCCUUCCUAAGGUCAAUCUAGGGGGGGGGAGCAAGACUCAAGAUAGAAAAUGGCGGCAGUGAAGCACCGUUCUUACCUGUGUUGGCUCAGGAGGACUGGGCCUGGCGUGGGGUCGUACCCGUGGAGAGCAGGGCCUGGCCAGGAUGCAGGACUCCAGACAGAAGCCUAAGAAAGGAGUGCGCCAGCUGGGCAGAGGUUUUGGAGUAAACGGCAGCAAGAGUCAGGCCUCUGAGUCCCGGAAGCUCAAAAAAACAGAGAGCAUGCUGGAGGAUCCCGGGUCUGGGCAAUCUCUUCCCCAUGGGGCCGCUUUUUGGCAUGCUUUCUCCCUAAACCAGGGUCGGCACUCGUCUGCUGACUGAGCCAGUGACGCUCGGCGAUGUAGCGGCUUCGCUCCCAGGUUCACGGGGUGAAUUCUGGCCCUUCUGCGCCUCCGUACCUCUGAGCUCUGAGUGAGAACUCCUGCAGCUGCGAAGACCAGACCUCCUUCACCUGCGCAGAGUUUAAAGAGAGCAGGUGUGGGCCGUCAGUGAUAAUGAAAAUGGAGGCAGCGGUGAAGGAAGCUUUCAGGAGCUGAGCUCAGUGGUAAAGGGUCACUUGUUCAGUCAUGUCAUACUCCUUGCAACCCAUGGACUGCAGCACGCCAGGCUUCCUUGUCCUUUACCAUUUCCCGGAACUUGCUCAAACUCAUGUCCUUUGAGUCAGUGAUGCCAUCCAACCAUCUCAUCCUCUGUCCUCCCCUUCUCCUCCUGCCUUCAAUAUUUCCCAGCAUCGGGGUCUUUUCCAAUGAGUUGGCUCGUUGAAUAAGAUGGCCAAAAGUAUUGGAGCAUCAGCUUCAGCAUCAGGAGGGUCACUUGAGAAUGGGGGAAUCUGGGCAUCAAGACCUGGGUUGCCAGUCCUGCUGGUAAGGGUAGCGACAGAGGAUACCUCCUUCUUAGGGCUACUGGCCGCCUCACCCUGCGUUAAUUUAAACUGCUACUGCUUCUCUCCUCUUUCCCCUAUCCUCAAUUAGGUAGUCACAAUGCCAGGUUCUCAGAAACAGAGAGGUCCUCCCCUGCAAACGCCAUCUCAGGUAGGCGGGGCUCUCGAGAUAAACAAUUUGAAUGACCUCACAUCAGCGUGUCAACAUCCUUUGGGUAGCUCAAGGUCAAGAAAUCACUUCAAAGAAAUACCACACUGGUCAGAAAGAAAGAAUCCCCUCACUGGGUCAUCCUCAUGGAGUCUGGUCAGAACACUGAGCCAACGAAUGGGAGAGACCUGGGACUCCUCCUAGCAUCUGGAUUACCCCACACUGAAUUGGUGUGGGUUAAAGAGUUAGAGCGUGGUUUCUGAAAGGGUAGAAAUGGGAUGGAGCCCACGUUGUUCUUGAAAUGUUCAGCCCUGCUGCCUCCAUAGACCCCUGGCACCAGAAGGCGUUUUAGACAUCUUCCUGGAAGACUGCUUCGGCCUACCUGGCUCCUUGAGGCAAAGGCAAGCGUUGCCUGAAAUAAAGAGUGGUACUGCCCUUAAGUAUGGGAGAAGGCAAUGGCAACCCACUCCAGGACUCUUGCCUGGAAAAUCCCAUGGAAGGAGGAGCCUGGUAGGCUGCAGUCCAUGGGGUCGCUAAGAGU
ensembl:lncRNA